AGGGCGAACGCUGGCGGCGUGCUUAACACAUGCAAGUCGAGCGGAAAGGCCCUUCGGGGUACUCGAGCGGCGAACGGGUGAGUAACACGUGAGCAACCUGCCCUUAGCUCCGGGAUAGCUCCGGGAAACCGGAAUUAAUACCGGAUACGACCACGGCCGACAUCUGCUGUGGUGGAAAGGAUUCCGGCUAAGGAUGGGCUCGCGGCCUAUCAGCUAGUUGGUGGAGUAACGGCCCACCAAGGCGACG
rnacentral:rRNA from 1 species